GUGGGGAAUCUUAGACAAUGGGCGCAAGCCUGAUCUAGCCAUGCCGCGUGAGCGAUGAAGGCCUUAGGGUUGUAAAGCUCUUUCAGCUGGGAAGAUAAUGACGGUACCAGCAGAAGAAGCCCCGGCUAACUCCGUGCCAGCAGCCGCGGUAAUACGGAGGGGGCUAGCGUUGUUCGGAAUUACUGGGCGUAAAGCGCACGUAGGCGGAUCAGAAAGUCAGAGGUGAAAUCCCAGGGCUCAACCUUGGAACUGCCUUUGAAACUCCUGAUCUUGAGGUCGAGAGAGGUGAGUGGAACUCCGAGUGUAGAGGUGAAAUUCGUAGAUAUUCGGAAGAACACCAGUGGCGAAGGCGACUCACUGGCCCAAUACUGACGCUGAGGCGCGAAAGCGUGGGGAGCAAACAGGAUUAGAAACCCGAGUAGUCC
rnacentral:rRNA from 1 species